rnacentral:rRNA from 1 species
AGAACGAACGCUGGCGGCAGGCCUAACACAUGCAAGUCGAACGCUCGUAGCAAUACGAGAGUGGCAGACGGGUGAGUAACACGUGGGAACCUUCCCUUCGGUCGGGAAUAGCCCAGGGAAACUUGGGGUAAUACCGGAUACGCCCUUACGGGGAAAGAUUUAUCGCCGUUGGAUGGGCCCGCGUCGGAUUAGCUAGUUGGUGAGGUAACGGCUCACCAAGGCGACGAUCCGUAGCUGGUCUGAGAGGAUGAUCAGCCACACUGGGACUGAGACACGGCCCAGACUCCUACGGGAGGCAGCAGUGGGGAAUAUUGGACAAUGGGCGCAAGCCUGAUCCAGCCAUGCCGCGUGAGUGACGAAGGCCUUAGGGUUGUAAAGCUCUUUUGGCGGGACGAUAAUGACGGUACCGCAGAAUAAGCUCCGGCUAACUUCGUGCCAGCAGCCGC